GGCAAGCCCAACUCUUAAUACAUGUACAUUUUGUAGGUCAGUGUUCAUAAAAUGCAUUUCCAUUUUCAUUUAGGGUCCACAAGGGCCAAAGGGAUCCAAGGGUUCUUCUGUAAGUACCACUUUAUUGCUAAUAAUUUCCAGUGGGCUUGUUAUAAUGACAUUAGAAAUGGACUUACAGUUUUUAAAUCAUCUUCCUGCAGGGUCCUGCUGGUCAAAAGGGAGACACCGGCUCGGCCGGACCACCUGGUCUUCCUGGUCCUCCUGGUGAAAUCAUCCAGCCUCUGCCUAUCCAGAGGCCCAAGAAAUCCCGUCGCUCCAUCGACAUGCAAGCGGACGAGGCCGGCACCAUGCUGGACU
ensembl:lncRNA